rnacentral:lncRNA from 1 species
CUUAAAACUGGGGUAAAGAUGCUCAAAAUAUUACAUUUUAAUUUAAUUAUUAUUAUUAAGUUUAGUUUUGCAGGUGAAAAUUUUAUUGUUUUAUUUCAAAGCUAAAUAUAAUAAGGCACUAAAUACAAAUAAUCUUAUUUUGCUUUCAUUUUUUACAGAUGCCGAAUCAGCAUUCAUCCAGUCUCACACCAACACAGUAAAAAGAGACAGGAAUCCACCAUACGUUUCGAACACGAAGGUUUGAGGAAAUCCAGAUUGGACUUGAAGUGACUCUCGGCCUGGUCCAGCCAGUUUUUGGGAGACCUGCAGAUCAUGUCCUGAGUGAAUCUGGCCACACUUGUGUCCGGGAUGGUCACAAAAUCCUCAAGUUUGAUUGAGCUGCACAUGUCUCUGAGAUGGACGCCAAAACCUUUGAUCAGCACCUGCGGGAGCACCGGUGAUAAGCAUGGUUAAGCAGUAAGAGCAGAUAACUAGGUGUUCACAAAGGCUUUUUGGAGACUGAAGGACUGAGCUAUUCACAUGACCCAUGAGUUCAUUAUCUGGAGAGCCACUUAGGCUGGAUGCCCUGAAUACACAUUGUGAGGUACAUUAAGGUAAAACUAGGCUGCC